rnacentral:rRNA from 2 species
CAGUCGAACGAGUUCUGAUUAUUGAAAGGUGCUUGCAUCUUGAUUUAAUUUUGAACGAGUGGCGGACGGGUGAGUAACACGUGGGUAACCUGCCCUUAAGUGGGGGAUAACAUUUGGAAACAGAUGCUAAUACCGCAUAAAUCCAAGAACCGCAUGGUUCUUGGCUGAAAGAUGGCGUAAGCUAUCGCUUUUGGAUGGACCCGCGGCGUAUUAGCUAGUUGGUGAGGUAACGGCUCACCAAGGCAAUGAUACGUAGCCGAACUGAGAGGUUGAUCGGCCACAUUGGGACUGAGACACGGCCCAAACUCCUACGGGAGGCAGCAGUAGGGAAUCUUCCACAAUGGACGCAAGUCUGAUGGAGCAACGCCGCGUGAGUGAAGAAGGCUUUCGGGUCGUAAAACUCUGUUGUUGGAGAAGAAUGGUCGGCAGAGUAACUGUUGUCGGCGUGACGGUAUCCAACCAGAAAGCCACGGCUAACUACGUGCCAGCAGCCGCGGUAAUACGUAGGUGGCAAGCGUUAUCCGGAUUUAUUGGGCGUAAAGCGAGCGCAGGCGGUUUUUUAAGUCUGAUGUGAAAGCCCUCGGCUUAACCGAGGAAGUGCAUCGGAAACUGGGAAACUUGAGUGCAGAAGAGGACAGUGGAACUCCAUGUGUAGCGGUGAAAUGCGUAGAUAUAUGGAAGAACACCAGUGGCGAAGGCGGCUGUCUGGUCUGUAACUGACGCUGAGGCUCGAAAGCAUGGGUAGCGAACAGGAUUAGAUACCCUGGUAGUCCAUGCCGUAAACGAUGAAUGCUAGGUGUUGGAGGGUUUCCGCCCUUCAGUGCCGCAGCUAACGCAUUAAGCAUUCCGCCUGGGGAGUACGACCGCAAGGUUGAAACUCAAAGGAAUUGACGGGGGCCCGCACAAGCGGUGGAGCAUGUGGUUUAAUUCGAAGCAACGCGAAGAACCUUACCAGGUCUUGACAUCUUUUGAUCACCUGAGAGAUCAGGUUUCCCCUUCGGGGGCAAAAUGA